rnacentral:lncRNA from 1 species
UGUGUAGCCGUGAUGGUAUCUUUUCGACGGAGUCCGGGAAGUGAACACGGUGUUGGAGUUAUGUUUGACGUAGGUUGUUCUAGGAUCACUUCUUGAUCAUAGUUUCUCGACCGUGCUUUGCCUUCUCUUCUCGCUCUCAUUUGCGUAUGUUAGCCACCAUAUAUGCUAGUCGCUUGCUGCAGCUCCACCUCAUAUCUUUUACCUUACCCAUGAGCUUAAAUAGUAUUGAUCGCGAGGGUGUGAGAUUGCUGAGUCCCAGUGACUCACAAAUACUUCCAAAACCAGCUUGCAGGUGCCGUUGAACCGUGCAGGUGACGCAACCGAGCUCAAGGAGGAGCUCGAUGAAGAUCGUGUUUGUUAUGUUGUUUUCGUUUCCAGUUGAUCAGUAGUGGAGCCCAGUCGGGAUGAUCGAGGAUCUGUGUAGCAUUCGGGGUAGUCUUCUUUUAUUUUGGGUUCCGUAGUCGGACCUUGUUUGUAUCUGGUGAUGUAAUGCUUUAUUCAUGUAAUUGUGUGAAGUGGCGAUUGUAAGCCAACUAUGUAUCUCUUUCCCUUAUGUAUUACAUAGGAUGUGUGAAGAUUACCUCACUUGCGACAUUGCUUUCAAUGCGGUUAUGCCUCUAAGUCGUGCUUUGACACGUGGGAGAUAUAACCGCAUCGAGGGCGUUAAAAGUUGGUAAUCAGAGCCUUCCCCGACCUUAGGAGCCCCCCUGCUUGAUCGAAUCGCUGGCGUUGUUGAGUCUAGAAAAAUGUUUUGAGUCAUUUAGGAUUAUAUAUAUCGGAGAGUAGGAUUCUUUUUACCCCUCAGUCCCUUCGUCGCUCUAGUGAGGUAUCCUGACAUAGAGUUUUGACUCGUCUCUUCUCAAAUUUCACUAAAUUUUUUGAGGAUCAUGCGGGUAUCUUGGAAUCAUUCUGAUGGUUUUGUGACGAGAACAUUAUUCUUGGUGCUUCCUGACAUUUAGGGGUUGUGGCAGUGUCCCGAGGAGUUGAGCUCCGAGGUGUUGUCAUCACAAUUUUAUCAUUGCAAUUCUGGAAUACCUGAGUUUUGCCGACAUCGAAAAUCUCUUUUAUGCAGUUGUUAGUGAGAUAACCUCGACGCCACCCAGUACUGGGGCGGGAGUUCGGGAGUAUUGGCAUAACUCGUAUAACGGAUUCUUUUUGAAGGUUGAGGUAAAUGAUUUCUGAAGGUUUCUUGGUUAUGUGUUGAAGGAUGGAUACAGCUGGAUGUAGGAUUUGCUAGUUUUGGGUGAGAUGUUAUGCUUCCCCUGUAUCCCCAACACCUGAUUGCAUAACCCGAAAGUUUCGGGAGUUUAUAAGUGGGAAUACAAGUAGCUCUUAGGAUAUAUUUCUGACAGAUGUAUGAUAUGAAAUUGGGGUUCGACGUCUAGUGCUCCGCCUAUCCACGAUUGGUUUUACAGUGGUCUCGUUGUGUCUUAAAGAGUCCUUGGCUAUGAUGACUUGGGGACACUUCGUAUGUCAUGUGCACUGCUUUGUACAUGAUGGUGCUGUACGAUCGAGCCCGUGUAGGCCCCGCCACGAAAACUUCGGACGAAAUCUCUAUCAUAUGUUUGUUCUGGCUUAUUCUGCAAGCCAAUCCUUUGUUUUGUUUUCAGUUGUGGUAUUCGAGUUGCUUCGAAGUCAAAUGUUGAUUCCAUACCUUUCCUAAUCAGUGUUCUCAUACUCCGAUGUAAAUACCAAUCCUUCAUGAUAAUCGAGAUUGUCAUGUCAAUCCUUGCCAGCCGGUGCGAUUCUCUUCAAGAUGAUCCUAUCAUUUGUCUCAUCCGUAAGAUAAACUCCAAGUCUUCUCAACAUUGUUUGUUUCUUCGGUCUGAAGUUACCUUUGUUUUUCCCACCCUCCCACCCUUUUUCUUCAAGGAUUCAGAUUUCUUAAUCAAAUAUCCAUUUUAUUCAUGUGAAGUCUCUUCGUUCUUUUCAAUCAAUGUUAUUACCUGGUGGUUCUCUUGAAGAUGCUCUACUAGUUCAUCAUUCUUCAUUAUUUUCCUUCUCCGGUGGAUUCAAGUCAAGCUUUGUUGAUCAUAUCCUUUUUCCUCGUUUCAAUACCUUCUCUUGUCGGUGCACCUCAUAUUCAGUCAUUUCUCGCUAUUCUAUUGUUCUGGAGUGCUCAAGAUAUCCCGAAGAUUCGUGCUUACACUCUGCUUUCGUUCAAGCUCUUUCGAGGAUGUUAUCUCAUUCAAGCCAUUUAAAUUCAACCGAUGGAAUCUCUCUUUUCAAGCAACCGUUCAACGGUGUUUCUUUUGAGUGGCCCCUAACCCACAGGUCUUUUCCCAGGAUCUUACCCGACUCUUCUAAUUCUUUUACCGGAGCUAUUCUAAAAAAUUUCAAAGUUUGACGUAAGAAUGAAUUAUCAUCAGUCAAAUGCCAUUCUCCAAGAUCGGUCAUAUUUUUUUUCAUCGUUGGCUCAACCUUUCCAAUUUUAAUUCCGGAGUGCCUCAACAAUUCAUGGUGGUGUUUCUCAUUGUCAUUCUCGGAUUUUGAAGACCGAAGAAGAGUUUUCCCUUGAAUCUUGUUUCGAUCUAUCAAAGAUUCGUGGUUCUAGCUUCAUGAUAUCCUCUCAUAAUUGUUUUCAAUUGUGACAAUUCUUUUCACCCAUCCAGAACAAUUCAAGAGUCUUUUCAGUUUGAUCAUCCGGAGCCCAUCUUCUCAGAUUUAUUCAUUCCAGCUUUCAGUUAUCAUUCUCCAAUCUUACCGGUGCUUCGUUCAAGUUUUCUCUAAUCAAUUCGGGAUCUCUUCAUUCACCUGCAUCUAAAUUCUCUCAAGAAUAUUCGCUCAUUUUCCAAUUCCUCCUACUGAUGUGUUCGUUUUCUUCGUUCAUUUUCAAUUCUUACGGUGGUUCGUUCAAGAUUUCUCUUCCUUGUUUAUCAUAUCAAUUCAUUCGUUCUUUCCAAUCCUACCGGUGGUUCGUGGAAGACCUUUCUCAAGUUUAUGCUAUAUAUCUCUUCAAUCCUUUUCAACGGGAUUAAGUAGUGUGCCAAAUCCAUUGUUUAUCAUCAAUUUAAUUGAUGAAGGACAAGCAUAACAUAAUUCUUAUUCUUGUUCAUACAAGUGAUUAAUUCCUUAUUCCGGAGGUUCAUUGAAAAAUUCUUGGUUUCUUUUGCUCAUCUUUCUUUUCCGGAGUUCCAAGUUUCCACUUUAUCUUGUCGCAAAGCUCCAUUUAAAUCAUCGCAAGGCUUCACCUUGUGUUUUCAACUUCUAUUUCUUCUUGUUAUCCUUUUGUUACCGGAGUUCUUCAUGAAGGUUCUACAUGAUGGUUCAUCAAGGAUUUAAUUCCUUCUCGAAGUGUUCAUCAACAUUCUUUUCAGAGGAGCUCAAGCAUUCGUCAUCUUGCAAUCCGGAGUGCAAUUCUAUCUUCCGUAUCAUUUGAGGUGAUAAUAUAUCAUUCUUCUUUCAUAAGAAUUUGAUAUUUAAACCCAUCACCUUCUUCCUUGGAGUUAUCUUGGGUUAUAUUUCACCUAAAGCCUUCCCUAAGGAUUGUUGCUAUUAUGGUGCUUAUAAUUGACCCAAGUUCUUUUAUCCUCCCGGUGGUAUAAGUUUCUCGUUUCCUUGUUGAUAUCAAUUCAAUCUAUUGUUUCGUUAGUGGCAGAAUUUCACCUCAAGAAUUUGAGAUGUUCUCCAUAAGGCCACGACAAGCUUACUCUUUUUGCUGUUGGUUUUCCAACAACUCUGUUCGACCCUUUUCCAACCGGAGUGUCGUGUUUUCAUUCAAGUAUCUUCUCAUCUUAUCAAGUUCUUAUUCAAUUCCUUUUCUUUUCAAUCGGAGUGCUGCCCGAAGUUGUUCUUCCUUGUUCCUCUUUUCUAACGGAGUGUUUUCAACUUCGUCAUCUCCGUUGUAUUCUUUUCUCGAAAUGGCUUAACCUUUUCAAGGCUCUUUGGUUUCACUCAUUGGUCAAAGAAGCAACUUAGUUUUACCUCUUCUCUUUCUCUUCCAUUUUUCCCUCCGGUGCCAUUCUAGAUCUCGGGUCGAGAUCCUCUCGUAGUGGUGGAGUGUUGUAACGCCCCGAGACCGUUGUGCCAGGUGUCGUCCAGUUAUUCGCCGACGUUGCCAUGUCAUUUGCUUGCGUGUUGCAUCUUAUCAUGUCAUCAUGUGCAUUGCAUCAUCAUGUUUUCAAAACUUGCAAUCGUCCGGGGUAUCCCAGUUCUCCCCGUUGUCCGUUCUGAGCCCAGACACACUUGCACGCGCCCGUGGCACGUCCGAAAUAUUAUUUUAUAAGUGGCCGGAAAAUGUUCUCGGAAUGGGUUGAAAGUUGGCGUGCGGUCUUAUUAUAGUGUAGAUAGACCGCCUGUCGAGUUUCAUCGCAUUUGGAGUCUGUUUGACGCCCCAACGGAUAACUAUAGCGGCAUUAUAGUCGGUCAAAACGUCGGACGUUUUCGGUCUCUGAAAACCGUGCCGGGCUGCAUCUAUCCCCUCUUCUCUCAGACCAACCCGCUCUCCACAGUCCACCUAGACCCAUCCUACCCCUCUCUUCUCAGUGCAUCAAACCCCUCGCGCGCGUCCGGAAGUUGUCCCGAACCCGACCCGAGGAGUCGUCACCGUUGGGUCCGGAUCAUCCCCAAACAUCUACAAAACAUCACCAUUUUCUUUUUUGGACUUCCUAGUGUAUUUUUCUCGACCACUCGAUUUUAAUUGGAGGGACGGAUUAGCCCCUAAACUCUUCCUCUUUCCUUAUAUAUAGUCCCUAGUCUAAAUCUGGACCAAACCCUAUUUUCUAGGGAUCCUCCCCGUCGAAUCCCCGCCGCCAGCAUCUCCCACCUCGGGAUCCAUCUCCACCCAAUCCAACCACCAUCUCCAUUUCCGUGCCCAUCCAAGCACUACAAAGCCAAAGUCCCCCUGCCUUCCCGAUCCACCCACCGAGCCAACCAGCACCGCCCAGGCCUGUACGGUUGCUGGCCCGCACUCUUUGCUCCCUCGCUCUCGAUUGGAUCGAGGGGAGGAGCCCCUCGACCCCGACCACGCCAUCCGAUCCUUCCCGCCGGAGUCGCUGCCGGCGACCAGCUCGGAUCAGGCGACCCCACGCUCUCCUCGUCCUUCUUCCCUGCCAUCUAUUGUUGCCCCAGGUCAUCAGCGCCGCUAUUCCGCCCUCGAUUCCUCUCUGCUCCCUCUCCCUCAUGAGCUUCCUCUCUCUCUCCCCCGCAAGAAUGUCCCGUCGCCACCCGGGAAGCUCCAGCAACCCCCACAUCACCAGAUCUGGCGGAUCCCGGCCUUCUUCGCCCGUUCCUGGUCCUCCUCCGCGCCUCCCCAUCGGCGAGCCGCCAUCGUCCACCGCCACUGUUGUGUCCUCCUCCCUGCUCGUGCGGAGGCACGAGGACGAUGAGCAGGAGCUGCUCGCUCUGCUCGUAGGCCCCGCCGUGGCCAGAUCCAUCCAAGGCCCAGGAGCCCCUUGCCAGGCCUCUUUUCCACCGAACGGGCCUUGGCCCAUGUGAGCAGCGCCUAACCCCUAUCCUGUGUUUGUUGGGCUAGGUAGUUUCAGCCCAUGGACAUGUUUUUUUCCUGGACGAAUUUAAUCAUUUUUCCAGAGAUUACAGUUUUACAGAAAAGCCCCUAAACUUCAUGCAUUUAAUAUCUCCACAACCGUGCAUCGAAUUAAAACAACUUAUAUAUGUAAAAUGCUUAGAAUUUUGUGUAGUUUCAUAAUAUGCCACUUUUAUCCAUGUUUGAAAUGUUUAAAAUGCUGUUUGCUUAAAUUUACUCCUAUGCCAUGUUAAAAUGCUUUAAUUCAUAACUAAAUAACCGUAACUUCGAAUUUAAUAAACUUUAUAUGUAAAUGGGGUGGAAAAAUGCCUAGUUUAACAUGGUGCACUCAUCUUGCAUGUUUAACAACUAUAAAAUUUGGUUUAGGGCAGAACAGUACCAAAUCCAUAAAUAUGCACAUGAGGAUUUUUCGGACUUGUUGCUCGUUGUUCCAGCCUCAUUUAAACUUGCCUAGUUAGGUAGUUUUGUUGUGCUUCACCCCUUGCCAUGUUAAUCAAAAUUUAAUAUUGUUGGGUACAUAAACGAGAUCGAACUAAAUAACUUGAAUGUGGUGUUUCUUCAACAUGCAAUUCGUUGCAUAUUGAGCUCCACUUAAUUUGUAGUAUUGUUUGUGCACUUUGCCAUGCCAUGCAUAUUUAAACCGGACAUGCAUCAUACUUGGUUAUGCAUCAUGCCAUGUUAUGUGAUGGUUGUUUACUAUGUUAUUUGCUUCUUUCCGAUGUUGCUUCUUCGGGUUAGUUCCGAUAACGUCGCGUUUGUGAGGAUCCGUUCGACUACGUCCGCUUGUCCUCUUCAUGGACUCGUUCUUCUUCCUUGCGGGAUCUCAGGCAAGAUGACCAUACCCUCGAAAUCACUUCUAUCUUUGCUUGCUAGAUGCUCGCUCUUUUGCUAUGCCUAUGCUCUGAUACCUACCACUUUCUUAUCAUGCCUCCCAUAUUGCCAUGUCAAACCUCUAACCCACCUUGUCCUAGCAAACCGUUGUUUGGCUAUGUUACCGCUUUGCUCAGCCCCUCUUAUAGUGUUGCUAGUUGCAGGUGAAGAUUGGAGAUCGUUCCUUGUUUGGAACAUGUUUAUUGUUGGGAUAUCAUAAUAUUAUCUUGUUUAUCUUAAUGCACCUAUAUACUUGGUAAAGGGUGGAAGGCUCGGCCUUAUGCCUGGUGUUUUGUUCCACUCUUGCCGCCCUAGUUUCUGUCAUACCGGUGUUAUGUUCCUUGAUUUUGCGUUCCUUACACGGUUGAGUUAUAAUGGGAACCCCUUGAUAGUUCGCCUUGAAUAAAACUCCUCCAGCAAUGCCCAACAUUGGUUUUACCAUUUUCCACCUAGCCUCUUUUUCCCUUGGGUUCCGUGGACUCAAGGGUCAUCUUUAUUAAACCCCCCGGGCUAGUGCUCCUCUGAGUGUUGGUCCAAACUAGAGCCCUUUGCAGCGCCCCCUCGGGGAAACUCGAGGUUUGGUUUUAGUUGUAUGGAGCGCUCAUCUGAGUGUGCCCUAAGAACGAGAUAUGUGCAGCUCCUAUCGGGAUUUGUCGGCACAUUCGGGCGGUGUUGCUGGACUUGUUUUACCAUUGUCGAGAUGUCUUGUAACCAGGAUUCCGAGCCUGAUCGGGUCUUCCUGAGAGAAGGAAUAUCCUUCGUUGACCGUGAGAGCUUGUGAUGGGCUAAGUUGGGAAACCCCUGCAGGGAUUUGAACUUUCAAAAGCCGUGCCCACAGUUAUGGGCAGAUGGGAAUUUGUUAAUGUCCGGUUGUAGAAAACCUGAAACUUAUCUUAAGUAAAAUGCAUCAACCGUGUGUGUAGCUGUGAUGGUCUCUUUCUGGCGGAGUCCGGUUAGCGAACACGGUGUUGGAGUUAUGUUUGACGUAGGUUGUUCUAGGAUCACUUCUUGAUCAUAGUUUCUCGACCGUGCUUUGCCUUCUCUUCUCGCUCUUAUUUGCGUAUGUUAGCCACCAUAUAUGCUAGUCGCUUGCUGCAGCUCCACCUCAUAUCUUUUACCUUACCCAUGAGCUUAAAUAGUCUUGAUCGCGAGGGUGUGAGAUUGCUGAGUCCCCGUGACUCACAGAUACUUCCAAAACCAGCUUGCAGGUGCCGUUGAACCGUGCAGGUGACGCAACCGAGCUCAAGGAGGAGCUUGAUGAAGAUCGUGUUCAUUAUGUUGUUUCCGUUUCCAGUUGAUCGGUAGUGGAGCCCAGUCGGGACGAUCGGGGAUCUGUGUAGCAUUCGGGGUAGUCUUCUUUUAUUUUGGGUUCCAUAGUCGGACCUUGUUUGUAUCUGGUGAUGUAAUGCUUUAUUCAUGUAAUUGUGUGAAGUGGCGAUUGUAAGCCAACUAUGUAUCUCUUUCCCUUAUGUAUUACAUGGGCUGUGUGAAGAUUACCUCACUUGCGACAUUGCUUUCAAUGCAGUUAUG